UACGAGAGGCCCAAACGUUAUUCGGAAUUACUGGGCUUAAAGAGUUCGUAGGCGGCAUGAAAAGUAGGGUGUGAAAGCCCUCGGCUCAACCGAGGAAUUGCGCUCUAAACUAUCGUGCUCGAGGAAUCUAGAGGUGAGCGGAACUGAUGGUGGAGCGGUGAAAUGCGUUGAUAUCACCAGGAACACCGGAGGCGAAGGCGGCUCACUGGGGAUUUUCUGACGCUGAGGAACGAAAGCCAGGGGAGCGAACGGG
rnacentral:rRNA from 1 species